CAUUACGUGUGUUCAUCCCCAAAGGGAAACUCGCCUUCCAGAAAAAGAAAAUAAACCAACAAAUUAUACACUCUCUUUUAAAUUUGCCUGCUGACGAUGCAAUUGCUUGCCAUUCGGGACAAUUAGUAAGAAUUUGAAUGCAACUAAGCAAGAAUUUGAAUUGAGACAAGACGGUACCUUUCUUUCUCCACCAUGGUCCCUCGGGGACCGAGUACGAGAGGUCUUUGAACUCGAUGUUGACCGCUGGUCUGCGUGGAAGGGAUGAUUUCUCUACCGCGUUCUGCAGCAGGAGGGCUGCUGGUGGUGUAGUCACAAGGCUGUGCAUGUGCCUCGGUGGUGAUACGGCUGCUGGCUCCACCACUGCAGUGGACACACUGGAUCAGUUCUACUGAUGAGCCCGUCGCCUUCCUCAGCGACACACCACUACCUGUACACUGAUGUGCCACACCACUACCUGUACACUGAUGUGGUAGUGUCUGUUGUAGCUAUUACACUCACUAUAUGACAGCUACUGUAAAACAUCAUACAUGAGAUAUGUCUAGAUAAGUGAGAUGUUGCUGCAAACAUCACAAACAUUUAAAUUCAUGAAUGAUGCAAAACAUUUUAUGAAUGAAAUAUCAGGAUGUUGACUUAUGUAAGAUUAUAACUUAAUAUGCCAUCGUAUCAAAAGAUUAUCUACAUCACAUACAUUUCAAGCACACCCAAUUUGAGCAAUGUACAGUGAAUAACAUGGAGAGAUACAUCUCUCUCUCUCUCUCACACACACACACACACACAAACAACGGUGAUC